CUUUUAUCCUGGGUGUUGACGACUUAUUCCUGGAUCUGGUUAGACAGCACCGGCUCUUCCACCCAUUCCAUUUAGUGUUGGGAGGUCCUAACUCCCAUCAUGGCUGUAUUGGAGGUGAGAUACACGCAUGUAUCUCAUGUGUGUGCACAUAGCCAGUCACAUGACAGCCCUGGGAUCCAUCGGUUUCCUGGAAUGUGAGAGACUCUCAAUUUUCAAGCCACUAGGAGUAGAAUAAUCGAGAGAAGCAAGUGCCCCAGUGAGGCUGCGAAGGGAACAGUUGUAGUGUGUGGUGUUGGAUCUAUAUGGCGGGAUCCAUAAAGUUACACCUUGUGACAAGUCUCAGGUUCCUAUCAUUGCCUUGCAAGAAUGAGGAAGUAGAACAUGGACCUAGUAAUUUUGGUUGGGAGAAAAAUUCUGAAACAAUUGAUAGCCUCGAGGCUGUUCACAUGUACUUCUUACCUUAUGAAAGCCAUACUUUAGAAUGACCAGAAUCAGUGAUUUUUCCUGGGGCGUCCUCUCGCUCAAGGAGAAUUGUACUCAUCAAGUAUAGUCUGGGUGCAAGAGAGAUGCGAAUGGAAGCUUCUGGAAAGGGUUGGAUCUUCCUUCCACUGCAAGGCUGAGCAACUGACCAGAGCUUUGUGGCUUGUGGAGACUGGAAUAUUGCAAGUCCAGAGACAAAUUACCUUGGGCCACCUUUAGCCCUUUAAUAGCCAUGUAAUUGCUCUCCUCUGUAAGUCAGAAAACAUUAUGAAACGUUGUGGCUAUUAGGUAAGUACUUUGGAAUGUACAAACUCCUAGCUUCUGCCAGCCAAAAGAUGGAGAUGCCACCAGAGAGCGUCUGCACAGAGGCUGUAACAGAGAUUUUUCCAGCUUUGCUUUAAGGCAUCCAUCUCCGUUUCCACUAACGUAUUUGGAAAUGUCUUGAUUUAUCACUUCCUUGUUCUGUUACUAUAAAAAUUCCAUCAAACCAUUGGAAAUGUAGAAUUUGCAGUCUCUUAGGUCCAUAUUCCCAGG